rnacentral:rRNA from 1 species
CGGACGGGUGAGUAACGCGUGGAUAACCUGCCUCACACUGGGGGAUAACGGUUAGAAAUGGCUGCUAAUACCGCAUAAGCGCACAGUACCGCAUGGUACGGUGUGAAAAACUCCGGUGGUGUGAGAUGGAUCCGCGUCUGAUUAGUUAGUUGGCGGGGUAACGGCCCACCAAGACAGCGAUCAGUAGCCGACCUGAGAGGGUGACCGGCCACAUUGGGACUGAGACACGGCCCAG